GACGAACGCUGGCGGCGUGCUUAACACAUGCAAGUCGAACGGAAAGGCCUUUUCGGAGGUACUCGAGUGGCGAACGGGUGAGUAACACGUGGGUGAUCUGCCCUGCACUCUGGGAUAAGCCUGGGAAACUGGGUCUAAUACCGGAUAGGACCGCACUUUAGUGUGUGUGGUGGAAAGUUUUUUCGGUGUAGGAUGAGCCCGCGGCCUAUCAGCUUGUUGGUGGGGUAAUGGCCUACCAAGGCGGCGACGGGUAGCCGGACUGAGAGGUUGGUCGGCGACAUUGGGACUGAGAUACGGCCCAGACUCCGACGCGAGGCAGCAGUGGGGAAGAUUGCACAAGGGGCGCAAGCCUGAUGCAGCGACGCCGCGUGGGGGAUGACGGCCUUCGGGUUGUAAACUCCUUUCGCCAGGGACGAAGCGUUUUGUGACGGUACCUGGAGAAGAAGCACCGGCUAACUACGUG
rnacentral:rRNA from 1 species